UGUCUCAUUUUCGCGGUGUUUUGGUAGAGGGCUCUUGUGGGCAUCUGAGCAUAGAUGAGCAGGAUGACUUCUGUGGGCAAAGUGGAGCUCCAAAAUGUUACGCCACCUUGGGAUGUGAAAGGUGAAAUUGCAGUCCCUCAAUGGUGGACCCCCUGGAAGAUGAGAUGAUGAUGGAGAUUUGAAUGAUCUAUUUGCAGCACAGAUCUGACUCCUCAUUGGAGAGGGGGCUGGGGGAGAUCCCAAACUGUAUGGAGUUCCUUCAUGGGGGUUUCAUCGUAUUGAAUGGAAAGGAGCCCAGAGCCUAACUGAUGAAUGUAGAGGCAGUUAACUCCUGCAUUUGGAACCUGGCACUUCCAGUGUGCCCAGGACUCCAGCUAGCAUUUACUCCCAGGUUGGACUCUUUUCAUCAAGAGAUUCUAGUUGGUGAACAUGGCACACAAAUGUAUCCCUCCUACGAAGAAGCAAGGACUUGAGGGCACCAUGAAGAUCACUGACCUACUGGGACAAUACAUUUUCAAGAAUGCAAAGCUGUCACCCUGUAAAAGAACAUUUGAAAUGUGGUUCUAGUGUCUUGUUUGAGCUGUUCCCCCAUCCUUCUCUUUGUUAGCAACUUUAUUUGCCAGCAAACCAACCUCUAACCGGUCACUUUUGUAUCAAUAAAUGUUUGAAGUUUGCUUUGA